rnacentral:lncRNA from 1 species
CACAGAGAAGGACAACAUGGAAAUCACAUUACUCUGGAAUUAAUUAAAAGAAAGCUUGUCUUUUUUCUUAAUUCAGAGGCAAUGCUAAGCUGCCUUCCACUAUUGCUCCUGUGACCCUCACCCUGGGCAGCCUGCUGGAUGACCAGCACUGGCAUUCCGUCCUCAUCGAGCUCAUCAUUUCCAAGCAAAGGGAGAUUCCAGUAACUUGGAUCUUAAUUUUGAGAUCAGCUUUGGGGGAAUUCCGACACCCGGAAGAUCGCGGGCAUUCACACGUAAAAGCUUUCAUGGGUGUUUAGAAAAUCUUUAUUAUAAUGGAGUGGAUGUUACCGAAU